GACGAAGGGGGCAAGCGUUGUUCGGAAUUACUGGGCGUAAAGCGAGUGUAGGUGGCUUUGCAAGUCAGGCGUGAAAGCCUUGGGCUCAACCCAAGAAAUGCGCUUGAUACUGUGGGGCUAGAGGACCGGAGAGGAUAGUGGAAUUCCCAGUGUAGUGGUGAAAUACGUAGAGAUUGGGAAGAACACCAGUGGCGAAGGCGGCUAUCUGGACGGUUUCUGACACUAAGACUCGAAAGCGUGGGGAGCAAACAGGAUUAGAUACCCUGGUAGUCCACGCCGUAAACGAUGGGUGCUAGACGUUGGCGAGCUUGCUCGUCGGUGUCGCAGCUAACGCGUUAAGCACCCCGCCUGGGGAGUACGGCCGCAAGGUUGAA
rnacentral:rRNA from 1 species